rnacentral:rRNA from 1 species
CACUCCUGCGGGAGGCAGCAGUGGGGAAUAUUGGACAAUGGGCGAAAGCCUGAUCCAGCAAUGCCGCGUGAGUGAUGAAGGCCUUAGGGUUGUAAAGCUCUUUUACCCGGGAUGAUAAUGACAGUACCGGGAGAAUAAGCCCCGGCUAACUCCGUGCCAGCAGCCGCGGUAAUACGGAGGGGGCUAGCGUUGUUCGGAAUUACUGGGCGUAAAGCGCGCGUAGGCGGCUUUGUAAGUUAGAGGUGAAAGCCCGGAGCUCAACUUCGGAAUUGCCUUUAAGACUGCAUCGCUAGAAUCGUGGAGAGGUGAGUGGAAUUCCGAGUGUAGAGGUGAAAUUCGUAGAUAUUCGGAAGAACACCAGUGGCGAAGGCGACUCACUGGACACGUAUUGACGCUGAGGUGCGAAAGCGUGGGGAGCAAACAGGAUUAGAAACCCCGGUAGUCCCAUGAU